UACGUAGGGGGCAAGCGUUGUCCGGAAUCAUUGGGCGUAAAGCGCGUGUAGGCGGCUUGGUAAGUCCGUUCUGAAAGCCCGGGGCUCAACCCCGGGAGGCGGAUGGAUACUGUCAAGCUUGAGUCCGGAAGAGGCGAGUGGAAUUCCCGGUGUAGCGGUGAAAUGCGUAGAGAUCGGGAGGAACAUCAGUGGCGAAGGCGGCCAUCUGGGACAACACUGACGCUGAAGCACGAAAGCGUGGGGAGCAAACAGG
rnacentral:rRNA from 1 species